AUUGAACGCUGGCGGCAGGCCUAACACAUGCAAGUCGAGCGAGCGGCGGACGGGUGAGUAAUGUAUGGGGACUGCCCGAUAGAGGGGGAUAACUAAUGGAAACGGUGGCUAAUACCGCAUACUAUCGGAUACCCCAUUUGGCAUUAGCUAGUAGGUGGGGUAAAGGCCCACCUAGGCGACGAUCUUUAGCUGGUCUGAGAGAAUGAUCAGCCAGAAUGGGACCAGGACACGGCCCAGUCUCCUACGGAGGGAGAAGUGGGGAAUAUAGCACAAUGGGCGCAAGCCUGAUGCAGCCAUGCCGCGUGUGUGAAGAAGGCCUUAGGGUCAGAAAGUACUGUAAGCGGGGAGGCGUUACCCGCAGAAGAAGCACCGGCUAACACCAUGCCAGCAGCCGCGAUAAUAC
rnacentral:rRNA from 1 species